AAACUGAAAAUUCCUAGACUUCUCACUGAGAAUUGUAUAACUAUAGUCGUUUUCAAAGAGUAAAGAACAGCUGAUAUAAUUAAUCAAGGCAAAGUGGGGUGUGACAGUUAUAUAUUUUUCAAUGUUUACUCUGUAUAUGCAGCCCCUGCUCCUAGGAAUUGUGAAUAUUAUCUCUCUUUGUUGAAACUUUGGUCACUGAACAUAGUGCGAUAUGAUCAAUAGGUACCGAGACAUGGUGAACUUUAUUGCCCAAUUGGGGAUGAGGAUGCUGACAAAAAAUCCCCCAAUGUCAAUUUGGGGAUGGGGAAUUGAGUAUCAUGAUCCCGCCUUGUAGGGUUUUCAUAUGUUGAAAAUGAGAAAAUCAUUCUUAAUUUUAUAGAUAUAGUGAUAUACAUAUAAAUUUUUUUAAUCUCUUAAUAAGUAAUGUAUAAUUGUAUUUUUUAUCUUCUCUUUAAUAUAGUUUCAUUAUUUUUUCAAAUUUAAUUUUUUUUAAAGAGAGUUAAUUCUUUUUGAAUAUUUGAUAUUAUUAUUUUACAAUGUUGGGGACUCUGGAAACUCCUGGGGAAAUGGAAACAGGGAUGGGAGGCAGAA